rnacentral:rRNA from 1 species
AUUGAACGCUGGCGGCAUGCCUUACACAUGCAAGUCGAACGGCAGCACGGGUGCUUGCACCUGGUGGCGAGUGGCGAACGGGUGAGUAAUACAUCGGAACAUGCCCUGUAGUGGGGGAUAGCCCGGCGAAAGCCGGAUUAAUACCGCAUACGAUCUACGGAUGAAAGCGGGGGACCUUCGGGCCUCGCGCUAUAGGGUUGGCCGAUGGCUGAUUAGCUAGUUGGUGGGGUAAAGGCCUACCAAGGCGACGAUCAGUAGCUGGUCUGAGAGGACGACCAGCCACACUGGGACUGAGACACGGCCCAGACUCCUACGGAAGGCAGCAGUGGGGAAUUUGGACAAUGGGCGAAAGCCUGAUCCAGCAAUGCCGCGUGUGUGAAGAAGGCCUUCGGGUUGUAAAGCACUUUUGUCCGGAAAGAAAUCCUUGGCCCUAAUACGGUCGGGGGAUGACGGUACCGGAAGAAUAAGCACCGGCUAACUACGUG